GGUGCUGAGCCGCGCGGAGCUACCGCGCCCUACCAGACUCUCCCCUGGGUCCCUGUCUGACGAGCUCUAGGCAACCUGCCCUCGUUCGGGACACAAACGUCGAUCUCACCCCUCAGUUUCUGCCAGAGAAAAAGGAAAAGUCACCGAGAGGCCUGACCCUGACGGGCGGGGGGAGAUGUGCGUGCGGAGUAGCGGGAAGCGACUGAGGAACGGGGACUGGGCAGCAUUUGAAUGGAUGCGGGUGCCGCUGGCACCCGGGAAGACGCUGGGGGCCGGCGCUGUAGAGCCAGGCAUGGGCUGGGAUGUGUUUGGAUUCCAAUCUGGGCCUGACACCAGUUCAGUGACCUCGGGAAGUUCCCCAACCCUCCGGGCCUGUUUCCUCCCUCUGAAGUGGCGACAGUAAUAGAACCGACCUCGUAGGCUCAUCGGGAGGUCCUGAUGGGAGAACCCAUGCAACUUGCCACCACAGAGCCAGGCCCGCGGCGGUUGGCGCCUGAUGGGUAUUAAAGACGAGUCGGGAAAGAAGAGCAGUCAUGGAAUAAGGCCAUACCCUGUGGGUAGGGUAUAAAGGUUUCUCUCUAUAUAGUAGGUGUUCUCAUUAUCAGUCAUUCAAAGAAAAAGAGAAUCCUCACCAGAAAAACUUGGAACAUGGAACAGAUGGAAGGUGGCACUUCUGGAUAUGCCUUUUUACAUCUGAACUUGGAAGAGUUAAGAAUUGUUGAAGGCCCUUCUCACAGAUCAGGGGAAAUAGCUUCUGUCACAGAGCUGCCUACUCCAGGAGAACCAAAAAUGAAAGUAAACACUCAUAUUUUGUAAGUCUGUUCCUGAACUUCCGUCAAUCAAGUUUAAUCUAAAUCAAGGAUUCAAACUGAGAAGCAUUUAAAGACCAAGAAAAAGUUAAUUAGCCCAGUAUAAGUCAACAAGAAAUGAAGGAGUUUCACUCUCGUUGCCCAGGCUGGAGUACAAUGGAGCGAACUUGCCUCACCGCAAUCUCCGCCUCCCGGGUUCAAGUGAUUCUCUUCCCUCAGCCUCCUGAGUAGCUGGGAUUACAGGCAAGGUCUCGCUCUGUCGCUCACGCUGGAGUGCAGUGGCAUGAUCAUACCCCACUGUAACCUCAAACUCCUAGGCUCAAGCAGUUCUCCCACUUCAGCCUUCUGCGGAGCUAGAACUACAGGAAGACGCCACCAUGCCCAGCUAAUUUUUAAAAUUUUUUGUAGAUAAGGGGACUCACUAUGUUUCCCAGGCUUGUCUUGAACUUGUAACCUCAAUCAAUCUUCUUGCCUCGGCCUCCUGAAACAUUGGAAUUACAGGCAGGAGCCACUCUGCCCGCAGCCUCUUCCUAUU
rnacentral:lncRNA from 1 species